ensembl:lncRNA
GGAAGAUACGUCAUCUGGUUGCGCGCGGUGCUUCUUCACUUUCGCUUGCUGCCGGGAGAGGAGUGGGUGUGCUUUCCAAGCCGGGCGCCUUCAUCAACUGGGAAAUCUGAUACUGAUUUUGAAGUGGGAAGGAAGACCCUGUGCAAAGUGCUUUCGCUUGUUUUCAUAGAAAGCUUGGAUCAUCUGAAGCCUUUUGUGGAGCGUGAUACACCCAUUCACUGCUAUGCACAGAGUGCAGCAUGAAGACAGUAGGAGUGCAGUAGGCAUAGACGUCUACGGAAGAUGGAGAGGGCCCAUCCUGGAGCUAUUUCACCACACUGCUAUGGACAAGGCCAGAUCUCACCCCAGGCACAGUGAGCAUGACCCCCAGGAGGCCAAACAGGAUCCCUGCUCAGCCAUCCAGAGACAUGCUGCCUCUCAUGCCAUUUUGUUCAGCAGCAUAAGGCACCAUCUAAGGGUACCUUUCUCAAGUUUAAUUUUAUAAAGUACUUUCUUCCUUGCGUAUGCUCACCUGACAAUUUCCUGUGCUAAAAUACAAAUGAAACCAUCUUCUAAAUUUUUUUUUCAGACAAAAUCAGUCAGCUCUGUUUCUCCGAUGAUGCCAUGGAUUUUCAAAAGACUCUGUUGAAGUAUUUUUGAGACACUGUGCAUUUAUCUGUGCAGAGAAGAACUACAAUGUCUGUGAACUGCUUUUUGUCAUUCUCACAUUUAGAUUUUCAGAGAAGUUCAGCAUUCAGUGAAUAAACUUUAUGGUCUUCAGGGUUAUGUAUGGUCUAGCAGUGUAGCUAAGCAGUAGAUUUGCAAAACAAAACAAAUAAUGUUUAAGAUCCAGUGUCCCCGAUGUACACAUUUCAAGGGGAGUUUAAUUUAGAUUGGUCCUUGUGUUGCCCAUGAGCUUUGUCCCUUUUUGCAGUUGGUGUAUUUUCACAAUGCUUCCAGGGAAUAUAUCCCAGUUUAGUUCCAUCAUAAAGGAAUCUGGUUGGCAUUUUCCAAGGUGACUGCAUGAGCUGAACAAUCCUCUUUUAAAUGUGUAAACAGUUAUACUCCAGGCUACAGAAGAAACAGCAGUACCCAGAAUGAUUCAUUUUGCAGGAAAGUAAAACUAGCAGAAGUGUCAAUGAUCUUUCUUGUUGAUGUUUUCAAUUAAUUUAUUUGGAACCACUUGUCAGGAACUGUAUUUUUAGCUAGGUCUUCAUGAUAAAUUAAGAUGGAAAGGUCUGUAGGUCCUAGUACUGACAGGUAAAAGAGAUGGUGCUUUUUCCUUCUUGACAUUCUAGUUUUCCUCUUCUCUAUGUGCAACUGGUGUGCAGUGAAAGGAUGUUACUCAUGUUGUUAGAGGCCAUAUUUUCCCAUCCAACAUAAGAGUAUAUACUUCAGAGAAGCAGGAGUAACAGCAGGCUGUGAAGGAACCCAGUGGUGAUCAGGAGAAGUAACUGUGUCUCCAAAGGUCCAGUACCUUCCAGAUAACAUAACAAAACAUAACAACAACAAAUAUAUAUGUACAUAUAUAAAUAAUAAAAAAUAUCCCUGGAAAGUAUACUCUCGCCUGUCACACUCUAGUACAGCACCCUGUGCUGUCAAGUAAAUGUUUUUGCAAAUGUUACGUUUUCCUCAUCUCUUCAAUUGUUUUUUUCUUUCAGCUAUAUACUGUUAUCACAGAUGAUCUGAUUUCAAGGAACAAAAAAAUGUCUCUUUUUGUAAUAAAGCAG